GGAAUCAAUGGGAAGAAUGCCAAAGAGGACUGGGAAUAUCUGCUGGGUAGGUGGAGCUAUGAAAUUCCACACAAUAUAGGCAUGCUAUUUCUAUAGUUCAAGUUUUGAACAAGCUUGGCUAUAUUCAGUAAAAAUGUUAGAAACAUUCAUUUCAACAAGUGCUAAAAAAACCCUCCUUCUGCAGCAGGACACUUUAUUAUGUAUCCUCCAAUGUCUGUUUCUAACCCGAUUCCUCUCUGUAUCCUCCUCUAUCACAGACAUUGAACCACCCCUGCCAAGUGCGUUGUGAGUGGGUCCAAAUUCUAGCUUACUGCAUUCAGAAAGCUGAAAACCAGAAUUUCAUGGUCUGGUUUUUUUUCCAUGAAGGUUUUAACUUAGCAAAUAGCUCAAAUGAAUAAUGAAAUUCAUCACAAAAAAAAAAUGCUGAUUCUGAGCCUAGCUGAUUAUUUCCAGCAAACUGCAACCCCUGCGUUCACUGAAAUGUAACUGUGGGCAGAAUGAAAAAAGACCACCCCUUCCCCAGCACUUCCCAUGCUCCUUCGCUGGGAGAAUGCACUCUGCUCUGGCAGCUCUGCAAUACUUCAUAGGAGUGAUAUAGCUGUGAAGCACAGAAUGAAAAGCAACAGCAGAGGGAGGCAUAGGAAUAGGCACAGGACAAAAUCUGUGGAAAGGAGACCUGAAAGCAAAUGCGAGGAAAAGAGAUAGCCUGCCUGACAGAGGGUCAGAGAAGGGUAGGACUGCACAAGUGGAAUGGAUGAUCUUUAAGGUCUUUUUCAACCUGAGCAAUUCUUUGAUUCUACGAUUCUAUGAUGGAAAAGGGACUGCACUUGUGAGACACAGUGAAACCCGUCCAUUGCUGGGAUUAACUGAAGGCAGGGCACGGAGCAACUUUGAACUUCUAAGAACUGCAGGGAGGAGGUGAGGGAGUUAGGUUUGAAGACUUUUAUUUGGGUUUCAUUGCUGGUAAAACACUCCGCUCAGGGGAUUUUAACACUGACUUCUGCUCACUGAUUUGGGUACUGGGAGAAAAAAAGUCAUUACAAACACUUUGGGAGACAUCUUUCCUUUGCUCAACUCCCUGCCCCGUACAGCCUCUUGUUUUGCUUCAGGUUACAGUCAUCCUAGGUGGGAAGCAGGGCUCUACGUGUGGUGGCUGCUCUCUGCCCUCCUCAGUAGUUACCCUUCAUCCUCCUUGGUGCCACAUGGCCCCAGAGAUGUCUUCCUUGUUGACCCCAGAGCUGGAGGGGACGUCUGCCCUCAGCUGGAGGGGGAGCCCUGGCACUCUCUGAGACUGGCGACUGGCUGCCAAAAUGCCCUGCCUUUGGAAGCACAGGAAAACUGUGCCCCAAUAAGCAUGUCCAAGUCAUACAUUGGGGCAUCUUCUGCAGGACUUUCCUCUUUCACAGAAAACUGAGGUGCGCUACGCUUCCCAGGGAACUUAAAAUCUUCUUUACUACUGACAUUAUUACAUUUUUGCUCACUGCCACUUGUGUACUAAGAAUCCUCUUGCUGGUGUGAAUCGAGACAUAAGGAAUAGACUGUAGGAUCAGCGCAUAAAGCUUGCAGAUGGCUCCUAUAAACACUCACACUUAUCUUCUGUUCCUGACUAUGCAUUAAUCACUAGUUCCAUCUGUCUGCUGUUUCCUUCUGCAUCUUGGGCAUUAUAACUCAUUAGGAGGUAGGGGGGGAAACUCAUCCCAAGCUGCGAUGGUUUUUGCCAAAAACCACAAGGCACUGAACUCAACCCUCAGGAAAACACACGCAUCAGCAUUUUGCUGAUGAUUCCCUUGCAGAAAGAAACGCCUGUUUUAUUUUAAACUCCUGUCAAGGUAGAGAACAGGCUAUUUGAGAGCCUGAGGUAUCGGGCAAGAAAUCCUCACUCCUUAUUUUUCUGCACUUCACAGUGAGAGGGAAUGAUGGCAAGCACAGAAAUCCUGACAGAUUUCACCAUCAUUCUGCUUGGCCUGGAGUCACUUACAGUCCCCAGUGCUUGCCUGCUUACUAUAAAUAACAUCCUGUCAGGGAAAAAAAAAAAAAAAAGAGAGAGAAAGAAGAAAGAAAGAAAGAAAAGAAUUUUCAGCUUCUUAGUUGCUGGCAAUAGGAAAGUGUUUUCACGCUGUUUGUCAAGUAUUUGAGGCUCUGCCUUAGACUUCUAUAAUAAUUACUAUAAUAAACACAGAUUGGUUGUGGGCUUUGCAAGCCAUCCAGUGAAGGAAGCGCUCAAACAGGCUCAGCUGCAGAAAGGGAGCAAUACAGGCUGAUGUAGUCAGAGAGAAAAGACUACAGGAAAAAAAGUGAGAGUUAAUCAGAAACCCUGAGGGUUUGGGAGGAAAAGAGCUUAUGAGUGAGAGGAAGACAUAUUUUGAUGGAGCACAGCCAAGCACAGUGCCCGUGGGCAAUGGUGAUCCCAAUGAAGUGGUGAGCAUGCUCUCAGACCACAAGAAGAUUCAUCCUUGCUGCUAGCCCACUGGUUCAACUGGAGACAAAGUCAAGCUGAAUAGAGUCCCAGCAUUCUCGAAUACAUAUUCUCUUCACAGUGGACAUCUAAGCUAAUUGUGCCUAUGCAGAAAAUGUGGAAGAAAAAUGAGGUUCUGCUCCUGACUUGACAAAACAGUACUGUUCACGUGGUUAACUUAUAUGCGAGAUUGCCUUCUGCUCAGGCUUUGUUCCUUGUGCCAGGCUCAGCUAUUUGUGCCUUUGGAUGCAGGGAAUCCAGCGUUGUCCCAUACAGCAGAGAAUAGAGAUGGAGCAAUACAGCCCAAGGUCAAGAGUGAGGUUUCAAGAGCAGCAGUGUUUCUGUUGUGAAAGGAUAUCAGAGCACGGCACCUUUUCCUGCAGCUGCUGCGUUUUGUUUGCUGCUGAUAAAAAGCCUCUGUGAGAAACGGCAAAUGGACCUGCAGAUCCACCACAGCUUUCAGUGAAAGCAGGAGCUCAAAGUGGUCCUGCUCACUGUUGCUUCUGCACUUCACCUUUCCUUCAUUCAUCCUGCCAGAGGAAUACUGACAGGUCUCACCCGUGAGUGACUCUGGGGCUCUUUGAUUUCUGGAGGAAAGGCUUUACAACGACAACUACGAGGCUGCGAUCUGAUAUUAAUCUCUGGAUGUUCAGUACAGAUAAAACAAGAAUUUGUGUACACUAUUCAAUUUUAUGAAGAGCAACACGGUGCCCUUGGCAGAUCCCUGAAUGACCUCUCCAGGCUUAACCAAACAAUAGACCCAGAUUUGUUAAGGUCUGGCAGCACCAUCUUCUAGUAAUGUUUUCUUCUUGUCUGGAAACUAAAGGCUACAUUACUCUGUCAGAGGAAGCUG
ensembl:lncRNA